UCGAGACCUGCACAGCAGAACGACCCGCGAACACGUUUAACCAACCGGGGGAGGCGAGGGGACCUGGUGCCUCGGACCUCCCCCAAUCCGCCGGGAGCGAUCUCGGCGGCCUAACGAACCCCGGCGCGGUCUGCGCCAAGGAAUAGAAACGAACGAGCGCGCUCUCGCGGGGGCCCGGGAACGGUGCUCCUCGCGAGAGCUGCGUGAUCUUCGAUAAGUCAAAACGACUCUCGGCAACGGAUAUCUCGGCUCUCGCAUCGAUGAAGAACGUAGCGAAAUGCGAUACUUGGUGUGAAUUGCAGAAUCCCGUGAACCAUCGAGUCUUUGAACGCAAGUUGCGCCCGAAGCCAUUAGGCCGAGGGCACGUCUGCCUGGGCGUCACACACCGUUGCCCCCCCCGCACCUCGCUCUGAGAGCGCGCGUUUGGGCGGGCGGAAAUUGGCCUCCCGUGCGCGAUGAGCCUCGCGGUUGGCCCAAAAACGAGUCCUCGGUUGCGAGCGCCGCAACAUUCGGUGGUUGUCGAGCAUUCGGUGCCCCGUUGCGCGCGCUUCAGCACGUCACGAGACCCUCGGAGAACCCCAAGGCGCCUUGAACUAGGCGCUUCC
rnacentral:misc_RNA from 1 species